AACCCAGUUAUCCAGGUGACGAGCACCCAUGGGUGUUCUCAGGAAGGACCCCAGCACCCAUGGGUGCUCUUAAUGAAGAACCCAGGCAUCCGGGCAGCCCCCACCCAUGGGUGCGCCGGAAGAAGGACCUCAGCACCCAUGGGUGCUAUUAACGAAAGACCCCAGCAUCUGGUGAACCCCACCUAUGGGUGCUCUCAGGAAGGACCCCAGCACCCAUGGGUGCACCUAAGGAAGGACCCAGGCAUCUGGGCAAACCCCCACCCACCCAUGGGUGCUGCCAGGAAACACUCCAGCACCCAUGGGUGCUCUU